AUUGAACGCUGGCGGCAUGCUUUACACAUGCAAGUCGAACGGCAGCGCGGGCUUCGGCCUGGCGGCGAGUGGCGAACGGGUGAGUAAUACAUCGGAACGUGCCCAGUAGUGGGGGAUAGCUCGGCGAAAGCCGGAUUAAUACCGCAUACGACCUGAGGGUGAAAGCGGGGGAUCUUCGGACCUCGCGCUAUUGGAGCGGCCGAUGGCAGAUUAGCUAGUUGGUGGGGUAAAGGCCUACCAAGGCGACGAUCUGUAGCUGGUCUGAGAGGACGACCAGCCACACUGGGACUGAGACACGGCCCAGACUCCUACGGGAGGCAGCAGUGGGGAAUUUUGGACAAUGGGCGAAAGCCUGAUCCAGCAAUGCCGCGUGUGUGAUGAAGGCCUUCGGGUUGUAAAGCACUUUUGGCGGGAACGAAAAGGACUGUGCCAAUACCACGGUUCGAUGACGGUACCCGCAGAAUAAGCACCGGCCAGCUACGUG
rnacentral:rRNA from 1 species